CCGUAGGAAGAGAAAACAAGUGUGAUUCCGUGAGUAGUGGCGAGCGAAAGCGGAGGAGGCUAAACCGUGUGUGUGUUCAAGCCGGCAGGUGUUGCAUGUGCGGGGUUGUGGGGGCCUUGUGGUUCUGCUGCCGCAGGAUUGGCCAGUGAGAAAUGUUGCGUGAAGGUGAAGCGUCUGGGAAGGCGUACCGGAGUGGGUGAGAGUCCUGUAACUGUAAGCGUGGCACUGGUGUGGGGUUGCCCCGAGUAGCGUGGGACUCGUGGAAUUUCGCGUGAAUCUGGCGGGACCACCCGUCAAGCCUAAAUACUCCUUGGUGACCGAUAGUGGAUGAGUACCGUGAGGGAAGGGUGAAAAGUACCCCGGGAGGGGAGUGAAAUAGUUCCUGAAACCGUGUGCCUACAAUCCGUCGGAGCUGGCCUGCGGGCUGGUGACGGCGUGCCUUUUGAA
rnacentral:rRNA from 1 species